AUUUUAUAAUUUAUUUUAUAUAUAUAUUCAAUUUAAUCUUUUUAACUUAUUGUUCGUUGACCAGCUCAUGAGCCAGCUCGUGUUUGGCUCGUUUAUUAACGAGCCGAACACGAGCUAAAUUUUUCGGCUCGAUACUUUAAAGAGCCAGCUCAUGUUCGGCUCGUUAUUAAAUGAGCCAGCUCAUGUUCGGCUCGUUAUUAAACGAGCCGAACACGAUGUUGGCCCUAAGCUCGCUCGUGUUCGGCUCGUUUACAUCCCUAGUGGUAUAUAUUUUAGAAUACACAUAAAUGUAUCAUUAUAUUUUUAAUAUUGGAAAAACUUCAAAUACCACCCAUGUGGUUUCGCACUUCUCAUUUUAGUACUCUGCGCUUUAAAGUGUAUCACUUUCGUACUUUGUGGUUUUAUUUUUCUCUUUUUGUUAUCCUCUCUACUAAUUUUUUUCGUUAAAUCAGCGGCAAAGUUAAAACUAAAAGGUACUAAAGUGAAUAUUUGAUAAAUUAAAGGUGGGGUAUCUUAAGUUUUUUGUAUAUAAUUUAACGAAAAGUUAAUGGAGGGGCUGACGAAAAGGAAAAAAAAUAAAAUUACAGGAUACUAAAUUGAUACACUUUAAAUCAUAGGGUACUAAAGUAAGAAAAUGCCAAACCACAAAGGUGAUAUUUGAAGUUUAUCCUUUUAUAUUUAUUAGUUUAAUACAGAAACUACCAAAUUAUAUUAAUAAAAUAAAAUUAUCAUAAUAUGUUUUUAGAGAAACUAAUAUUAUAAAAAUCUCACUUUACACUAUAAUUAUUUUAAGUA
rnacentral:lncRNA from 1 species